rnacentral:lncRNA from 1 species
UCCUAAAUAACUUAAAAUACUUAAUAAUCAUAAAAAAAUAAUAAUAAAAUAAUAAUAAAAUAAUAAGAUCUGACAAAUAUAAUAUUGGGCUUAUAUAUAAUAAAAAUUGAGUCUAAAACCCGAACCCAAUAUGAUUUAAACUCAAAUUAAAAGUUCGAAAUUCGUAAUUCUCGGCAUAAUCUUGUUCAAAAAUUUUGCUCGCACAGUCUUCACUAAAAUGGUCAUAACUUGAGCUCCCGAACUCAAAAUCGAGUGACUUAAAAUGCGUUGCGAAACUAAGAGAUAGAUCUUUAAAUGCCAUGAGACAUCUCAACCUAAAAAUGCCAGGAUCCCAUCCAAACAGUCGUUGCAAGUCUGCUAAUUUCUCAAGCCUGACAAUUAACAGUUUUGAUGAUUGAAAUCUAAUAAAUUUCACCCCAUUCGCGCAUGUAUCAGCUAGACAGACAUAGUUGAGUUUAGAUGUUUUGGAGGUUAAAAGCUUAACAAUGGAUACAACUAUUGUUUCUGGCACAACCCAGAACCAUCAUUUCUGCUCCUAUUUCAAUAAAUGAAAUUGAAUUCCCUGCUCACUGGUCAACUGUUGCCUAAACCCCCUCCCGCAGGAAUUGUUACUGCAUAAGAAAACCAAACUGGAUAAGUUUAGAAUCCAAAAAACUGAUUAUCUUAAUUUGAUAAUUGCGGAUUAUUCGCAAUUCAUUCAUGAUAAGCAAGGUUGAUAAUAGCAAUUGGUUGUCAGAAUAGCCUUGGAUCUUGUUCAAAGAAAUUGUCCACCGGCAUUACACCUGUCAUUUGAAUCUGUUAUCAAGCAAAUUAUGUGAAUUUUCCCGAUCUAACUCUUCUCUUAACUUUACAUCCAACAGUUUCUUAUCAAAAGAAAAAGAUGUUCAAAAAGUGCUCUAAAUUUCACCAAAUAAAUCAAUAAAGCGUCUUUUAUUGGAAUCUU